UGUCCCCCACAAAUGUGCACACUCCUCUAGACGAGGGGACACCCCUCGACUUUCAAGGGGAUACUCCUCUUGAAAUGGGGAUGUCCUUCCCUUUAUAAGGGGAUGCUCCUCCGAAAUUGGUAUAUUCAUCGGGCAUAGGGGACGUCCCUCCGGCACCCCCGCCGGCCCGUGGAAUCGGCCGCUGACCCGACAAAUUGCUUCCUAGUUCAUCUAAAUCACAACAUCCGCAAGACUCACAUGGCCGGUGCUCCAGCGGUACGUCUUGGCUCUCGAGUGUUAGUAUGCAGUGUCAAGUAUGUCCGGUCGACCCAAGAAAACCAGAAGGCAUUUGGUGCUUGCUCUCGGCAAGAAGGGAAAGAGGGAUCGAAAGCGGAAGGGACCAGGUCAUGGCUUUAAAGAAAGUGAUGUGCCACCGACAAAGAGACCAAGUGUCAGCAGCACCAGGU